AUUGAACGCUGGCGGCAGGCCUAACACAUGCAAGUCGAGCGAGCGGCGGACGGGUGAGUAAUGUCUGGGACACUGCCUGAUGGAGGGGGAUAACUACUGGAACCGGUAGCUAAUCCCGCAUACCAUCAGAUGUGCCCAGAUUGGAUUAUCUAGUAGGUAGGGUAAGGGCUAACCUAGGCGACGAUCCCUAGCUGGUCUGAGAGGAUGACCAGCCACAUUGGAACUUGGACACGGUCCAGACGCCUACGGGAGGCAGCAGUGGGGAAUAUUGCACAAUGGGCGAAAGCCUGAUGCAGCCAUGCCGCGGGUGUGAAGAAGGCCUUCGGGUUGUAAAGCACUUUAAGUGAGGAGGCGUUACCCGCAGAAGAAGCCCCGGCUAACUCCGUGCCAGCAGCCGCGGUAAUUC
rnacentral:rRNA from 1 species